rnacentral:rRNA from 1 species
AUACGAAGGGGGCGUAGCGUUGCUCGGAAUGACUGGGCGUAAAGGGCGUGUAGGCGGUUUACACAGUCAGAUGUGAAAUCCCCGGGCUUAACCUGGGAGCUGCAUUUGAUACGUGUAGACUAGAGUGUGAGAGAGGGUCGUGGAAUUCCCAGUGUAGAGGUGAAAUUCGUAGAUAUUGGGAAGAACACCGGUGACGAAGGCGGCAACCUGGCUCAUGACUGACGCUGAGGCGCGAAAGCGUGGGGAGG